UUUCGGAUGGAAUCCAAAUUGACUGAGUGGCGGACGGGUGAGUAACGCGUGGGUAACCUGCCUCACACUGGGGGACAACAGCUGGAAACGGCUGCUAAUACCGCAUAAGCGCACAGCUUCGCAUGAAGCAGUGUGAAAAACUCCGGUGGUGUGAGAUGGACCCGCGUCUGAUUAGCUAGUUGGUAAGGUAACGGCUUACCAAGGCGACGAUCAGUAGCCGACCUGAGAGGGUGACCGGCCACAUUGGGACUGAGACACGGCCCAAACUCCUACGGGAGGCAGCAGUGGGGAAUAUUGCACAAUGGGGGAAACCCUGAUGCAGCGACGCCGCGUGAGUGAAGAAGUAUUUCGGUAUGUAAAGCUCUAUCAGCAGGGAAGAAAAUGACGGUACCUGACUAAGAAGCCCCGGCUAACUACGUGCCAGCAGCCGCGGUAAUACGUAGGGGGCAAGCGUUAUCCGGAUUUACUGGGUGUAAAGGGAGCGUAGACGGCGAAGCAAGUCUGAAGUGAAAGCCCGGGGCUCAACCGCGGGACUGCUUUGGAAACUGUUUUGCUAGAGUGCUGGAGAGGUAAGUGGAAUUCCUAGUGUAGCGGUGAAAUGCGUAGAUAUUAGGAGGAACACCAGUGGUGAAGGCGGCUUACUGGACCCAGUAACUGACGUUGAGGCUCGAAAG
rnacentral:rRNA from 1 species